AACGCGCCCGUAGCUCAGCCGGAUAGAGCACCAGAUUCCUAAUCUGGUAACAGGGCUACGCUGUAAUGCGCAGAUUUUCCAUAAACUGCUGAAAAAGCGUAGAUAAUUUGAGAUUUGUUGACUUGAGCAAUCGCCCGCGCUA
rnacentral:tRNA from 1 species